GGGGAGUACGGCCGCAAGGUUAAAACUCAAAUGAAUUGACGGGGGCCCGCACAAGCGGUGGAGCAUGUGGUUUAAUUCGAUGCAACGCGAAGAACCUUACCUGGUCUUGACAUCCACAGAACUUUCCAGAGAUGGAUUGGUGCCUUCGGGAACUGUGAGACAGGUGCUGCAUGGCUGUCGUCAGCUCGUGUUGUGAAAUGUUGGGUUAAGUCCCGCAACGAGCGCAACCCUUAUCCUUUGUUGCCAGCGGUCCGGCCGGGAACUCAAAGGAGACUGCCAGUGAUAAACUGGAGGAAGGUGGGGAUGACGUCAAGUCAUCAUGGCCCUUACGACCAGGGCUACACACGUGCUACAAUGGCGCAUACAAAGAGAAGCGACCUCGCGAGAGCAAGCGGACCUCAUAAAGUGCGUCGUAGUCCGGAUUGGAGUCUGCAACUCGACUCCAUGAAGUCGGAAUCGCUAGUAAUCGUGGAUCAGAAUGCCACGGUGAAUACGUUCCCGGGCCUUGUACACACCGCCCGUCACACCAUGGGAGUGGGUUGCAAAAGAAGUAGGUAGCUUAACCUUCGGGAGGGCGCUUACCACUUUGUGAUUCAUGACUGGGGUGAAGUCGUAACAAGGUAACCGUAGGGGAACCUGCGGUUGGAUCAC
rnacentral:rRNA from 1 species